rnacentral:rRNA from 1 species
GAUGAACGCUGGCGGCGUGCCUAAUACAUGCAAGUCGAGCGAACGGACGAGAAGCUUGCUUUUCUGAUGUUAGCGGCGGACGGGUGAGUAACACGUGGAUAACCUACCUAUAAGACUGGGAUAACUUCGGGAAACCGGAUCUAAUACCGUAUAAUAUUUUGAACCGCAUUGUUCAAAAGUGAAAGACGGUCUUGCUGUCACGUAUAGAGGGAUCCGCGCUGCAUUAGCUAGUUGGUAAGGUAACGGCUUACCAAGGCAACGAUGCAUAGCCGACCUGAGAGGGUGAUCGGCCACACUGGAACGGAGACGGGGUCCAGACUCCUACGGGAGGCAGCAGUAGGGAAUCUUCCGCAAUGGGCGGAAGCCUGGCGGAGCAACGCCGCGUGAGUGAUGAAGGUCUUCGGAUCGUAAAACUCUGUUAUUAGGGAAGAACAUAUGUGUAAGUAACUGUGCACAUCUUGACGGUACCUGAUCAGAAAGCAACGGCUAACUACGUG